rnacentral:rRNA from 1 species
UACAGAGGGUGCAAGCGUUAAUCGGAAUUACUGGGCGUAAAGCGUGCGUAGUCGGUUAUUUAAGUCGGGUGUGAAAGCCCCGGGCUCAACCUGGGAAUUGCAUUCGAUACUGGAUAGCUAGAGUUCGGCAGAGGGAAGCGGAAUUUCCGGUGUAGCGGUGAAAUGCGUAGAUAUCGGGAAGAACACCAGUGGCGAAAGCGCUCUACUGGGCCAAGACUGACACUGAGGGACGAAAGCUAGGGGAGCGAAAGGG